UUUUAACGGAGAGUUUGAUUCUGGCUCAGAACGAACGCUGGCGGCGUGGAUAAGACAUGCAAGUCGAGCGAGAUUUUUUCUUGUAGCAAUACAGGGAAAAGUCUAGCGGCGAACGGGUGCUUAACACGUGGGCAAUCUGUCUUAAAGUGGGGGAUAGCUCGGCGAAAGCCGAA
rnacentral:rRNA from 1 species